GGAUCACCGGUCAUCUGACUACGGAUCAGAUGGUUGCGGGUUCGAAUCCUGCCGAGU
rnacentral:tRNA from 1 species